rnacentral:rRNA from 1 species
AUUGAACGCUGGCGGAAUGCUUUACACAUGCAAGUCGAGCGGCAGCGCGGGGCAACCUGGCGGCAAGCGGCGAACGGGUGAGUAAUACAUCGGAACGUGCCCAGACGUGGGGGAUAACUACUCGAAAGAGUGGCUAAUACCGCAUACGAUCUACGGAUGAAAGCGGGGGAUCGCAAGACCUCGCGCGUCUGGAGCGGCUGAUGGCAGAUUAGGUAGUUGGUGGGGUAAAAGGCUUACCAAGCCUGCGAUCUGUAGCUGGUCUGAGAGGACGACCAGCCACACUGGGACUGAGACACGGCCCAGACUCCUACGGGAGGCAGCAGUGGGGAAUUUUGGACAAUGGGCGAAAGCCUGAUCCAGCCAUUCCGCGUGCAGGAUGAAGGCCCUCGGGUCGUAAACUGCUUUGUACGGAACGAAAAAGCUCCGGCUAAUACCUGGAGUCCAUGACGGUACCGUAAGAAUAAGCACCGGCUAACUACGUGCCAGCAGCC